rnacentral:rRNA from 1 species
AGUGAACGCUGGCGGCGUGCUUAACACAUGCAAGUCGAACGAGAACGGAAUAUAGCUUGCUAUAUUUGUCAGCUAAGUGGCGCACGGGUGAGUAAUGUAUAGAUAACCUGCCCUUAAGAAAGGGAUAACAGUUGGAAACGACUGCUAAUGCCCUAUAUGCCUUUAAUACAUAAGUAUGCAAGGGAAACGCUUUAGUGCUUAAGGAUGGGUCUGUAUGGUAUCAGCUUGUUGGUGAGGUAAUGGCUCACCAAGGCUAUGACGCCUAACUGGUUUGAGAGGAUGAUCAGUCACACUGGAACUGAGACACGGUCCAGACUCCUACGGGAGGCAGCAGUUAGGAAUUUUGCGCAAUGGACGAAAGUCUGACGCAGCAACGCCGCGUGAGUGAUGAAGGCCUUCGGGUCGUAAAGCUCUUUUAGUUGGAACGAAAUUAAUGACGGUACCAGCAGAAAAAGCACCGGCUAACCCUGUGCCAGCAGCCGCAGAAA